GUGGUUGUUUAGUUUGUUUAGUUUGAUGGUAGAACCAGGAUGAUGUUCUACAGACAGGUGGUUGUUUAGUUUGAUGGUAGAACCAGGAUGAUGUUCUACAGACAGGUGGUUGUUUAGUUUGUUUAGUUUGAUGGUAGAACCAGGAUGAUGUUCUACAGACAGAUGGUUGUUUAGUUUGAUUGUAGAACCAGGAUGAUGUUCGACAGACAGGUGGUUGUUUAGUUUUAUGGUAGAACCAGGAUGAUGUUCUACAGACAGAUGGUUGUUUAGUUUGUUUAGUUUUAUGGUAGAACCAGGAUGAUGUUCUACAGACAGAUGUUUAGUUUGAUGGUAGAACCAGGAUGAUGUUCUACAGACAGAUGUUUAGUUUGAUGGUAGAACCAGGAUGAUGUUCUACAGACAGGUGGUUGUUUAGUUUUAUGGUAGAACCAGGAUGAUGUUCUACAGACAGAUGGAUGUUUAGUUUGAUGGUAGAACCAGGAUGAUGUUCUACAGACAGAUGGAUGUUUAGUUUGAUGGUAGAACCAGGAUGAUGUUCUACAGACAGGUGGUUGUUUAAUUUGAUGGUAGAACCAGGAUGAUGUUCUACAGACAGAUGGAUGUUUAGUUUGAUGGUAGAACCAGGAUGAUGUUCUACAGACAGGUGGUUGUUUAAUUUGAUGGUAGAACCAGGAGGAUGUUUUGUCUGUCCUUGAUUUCCCCUGCAUCACAUUACCUCUAGCCUACCUAGCAUUACUUCUGAAAACAUAUCUCACUUGUUCUUUGUCUGUGUAACAGCAUCUCUUAAAUCCAACACUUAAAGGUCGAUAUAAUGCCUCCAAUUAUUUAUUUACUCAAGGCAGCAGCAUGAUUAUUCAUUAUUAAGAGGUAGAGGAUGGAGAGAGGAGAACAUUCUCUUAAUUCAAUUCAAUUCAAGUGCUUUAUUGGCAUGGGAAACAUAUGUUAACAUUGCCAAAGCAAGUGAAAUAGAUAAUAAACAAAAGUGAAAUAAACUCUCUCCCUCUGUCUAUCUUUCUUUCUCUCUCUUCUCUCUUUCUUUCUCUUUCUCUCUUUCUCUUCUCUCUUGCUCUCUCUCCAAGACAAGGUCCAAGUCUGCUAUUCAAGGCUAACUUUCUUGUGUUUGUGAACUUGGGUAAUUGGAGAUGAAUCAAAUUGCUAUCGGUCUACUAUACUAAAUCAUUAUAUAUUAUAUUAUUAAAUCAUUGUAUAUUAAAUCAUUAAAUAUCAAUUUCAAAUGUAAACUUUAUUUACCAUAUUAAAAGCAGCCAC
rnacentral:lncRNA from 1 species